rnacentral:rRNA from 1 species
CCUACGGGUGGCAGCAGUGAGGAAUAUUGGUCAAUGGGCGCGAGCCUGAACCAGCCAAGUAGCGUGAAGGAUGACUGCCCUACGGGUUGUAAACGUCUUUUAUAAAGGAAUAAAGUGAGGCACGUGAGCCUUUUUAGAUGGACUUUAUGAAUAAAGAUCGGCUAACUCCGUUCCAGCAGCGGCGGUAAUACGGAGGAUCCGAGCGUUGUCCGGAUUUAUUGGGUUUAAAGGGAGCGUAGAGGGGUUGUUAAGUCAAUUGUGAAAGUUUGCGGCUCAACCGUAAAAUUGCAAUUGAUACUGGCAGUCUUGAGUACAGUUGAGGUAGGCGGAAUUCGUGGUGUAGCGGUGAAAUGCUUAGAUAUCACGAAGAACUCCGAUUGCGAAGGCAGCUUACUAAACUGCCACUGACAUUGAUGCUCGAAAGUGUGGGUAUCAAACAGGAUUAGAUACCCUGGUAGUC